UACAGAGGGUGCGAGCGUUAAUCGGAAUUACUGGGCGUAAAGGGUGCGUAGGUGGUUAGACAAGUCAGAUGUGAAAUCCCCGAGCUCAACUUGGGAACUGCGUUUGAUACUAUUUAGCUAGAGUGCAAUAGAGGGAAGUGGAAUUUCCGGUGUAGCGGUGAAAUGCGUAGAUAUCGGAAGGAACACCAGUGGCGAAGGCGGCUUCCUGGAUUGUAACUGACACUGAGGCACGAAAGCGUGGGUAGCGAACAGG
rnacentral:rRNA from 1 species